AGCCCCUUAGUUUUAUUUCUGACUUCAGCAAAGAUGAGUCACGGAGACCGUUACACCUCGUCGUCCUACCGGAAGAUUUUUGGGGAUUCUCCCAAGUUCCCCGUGUCCUCCUCUCGCAUGGGCAGCGCCUCUCACCGGGGCUCCCCGGGGCUCAGGUCCAUGGCUGGCUCCCGCAACAGCGGGUCCUCCCUGAGCCUGUACAGACGGGUCGGCCGCUCCACCUCUUAUUCUCCGGUACACAGCGACUCCCUUGACUUGACCCAGACCUCCGUGGUCAACAAUGAAUUCAAAGUUAUUAGAACUAACGAGAAGGAGCAGCUGCAGGGUCUGAACGACCGCUUCGCCGUGUUCAUUGAUAAAGUGCGGCACCUGGAGCAGCAGAAUAAGGUGUUAGAGAUGGAGCUGGUGUCACUACGGCAGAAGCAGGGUGAGCCGUCCCGUGUGGCUCAUCUCUACCAGCAGGAGCUGAUAGAACUGCGCUCACAGGUGGAUGAGCUGAGCCGGGACAAAAACCGCAUCCUGAUCGAGAGGAACAACAUGGAGGACGAGCUGCAGAAGCUCAGUGUGAAGUAUGAUGAGGAGGUGAAGGUACGGGAGGAAGCUGAGCAGACCUUGAGGUCCUUCCGGAAGGAUGUGGAUGACGCCACAGCCGUUCGCCUGGACCUGGAGCGCCGUGUGGAGUCACUGAUGGAUGAAAUCUCCUUCCUGAGGAAAGUGCACGAUGAGGAAAUCCAGGAGCUGAGCAGCAUGAUGGAGGAGCAGCAUGUCUCCGUGGAGCUCGAACCCGCCAAACCGGACCUCACCUCGGCUCUGAAGGAGAUCCGCAACCAGUACGAGUCCAUCGCCUCCAAAAACCUGCAGUCUGCCGAGGAGUGGUACAAGAGCAAGUUUGCUAGCCUCAGCGAGCAGGCCGCCAGGACCAACGAGGCCAUGCGGGCUAGCAGGGAGGAGAUCAGUGAGUUCAGGAGGCAGCUGCAGUCCAAGACGAUUGAGAUAGAGUCCCUGAGGAGCGCCAACGAGUCUUUGGAGAGGCAGAUCACAGAGAUGGAGGAUGCACACAACGCUGAAGUCACAGCCAUGCAGGCAGAUUUUCUCAUUUACCUCUUCUGGACACUAUUGGCCACCUGGAUACUGAGCUGAGGAACAUGAAGGGUGAGAUGGCCCAGCACCUGAGAGAGUAUCAAGACCUGCUCAAUGUCAAGAUGGCCCUGGAUAUAGAGAUAGCUGCCUACAGGAAACUGCUGGAGGGGGAGGAGACUCACUUUAACUCAGGGAUAUCCUUUGGUGCUGCCAGCUACAGCUACCAGCCUCGAGCGACAGCGUCCAGGAGCAGCCAGAGGGAGAAAGAGGGGGCCACCAAGGAAAGCUUCAAGGAGAGCAGUGAGGAUAAAGAUGAAGCAGACAUCAACUCCAACAACUGAAGGAAGACAGGCAGGGAAAUCUGGAAAGUGGGAAAAGAGAUACGCCGUAUAUGUAUAGUGAGUCAUAGUCACAUACUGUAUUUGUUAAGUGCAACACUAAGACGUUUUGGAAUUAGAGCUGGGUGAUUACCAACAUCUUGUAGCUGAAACAUUCUUCUAAUAAAUACAUUGGACGUUUUUCCUAGGACAUAGGUCUCAGCAUUUAGAUGAUCUUUGGACUCAUCUAAGCUUCGUUUCGUUUAUUUCACACAUCAUUGUAUCAUUAAAAUACAAUUUCAGAAGGUACAAUGAUCAUAUGUAGGCCACGUGAAAUGGGGAUCCCCAAACAAGCAACUAAAAGCUUUUCAGAGGGGGCCCAAGCAAACGUUCAACACUUAUUACCAAAGGAAAAUGACCUGAAAAUCUAGAACAAAUGCACUGUACAUCCCUAGAGGAAAUAAACAUAUAAAUAAUAAAAAAAAUUUGACCAGGUAUUGAAUGUUCUGGGGAUGGAUUCUCAUUUUGCUGCUGUGUGAGAUUGCACUGAAACCUGUCUGGAUUGCUCAGAUAGACUUGUUUGUGUAGUUCCACUUCUGUUGUUGCAGCAUCUUUUCAAUGAACUUGUGCUAUGAAGUUAGUCAAGACUAUAUCAGCUGUUAAAUUUGAUGUUCUAAGUUUGAGCUUUAACAUGAGAGAGGUAAGGUUCAAAGUGUAUAACAGUCACUCUAUACUUAUUAAAGCACUUUAGGGUGUAUGGAGGACAUCAGUGUUUUGCAUUGUUUGGUUGUAUCAUACGACAUUACAAAGGUUGGUUAACAUGGUUUAUUACGAUGUACACAAUGCAUUAGCUGUGAAAAACAUUCAGAACAUGCAGUCCAACUGGUAGUACAUGUCAUCUCACCUGGCUGCAGUGUCAAUGUAUACACCUAGUGGAAAACCACUCACUGUUGGUUUAGUUGCACUGAAUAACGCAAUGAAUAAAAUGACAAAUUGACU